UUUUAUACUCUGGCAACAAAGUUGCUAAGAGAGUAUAAUAGUUUUGUUCACAUAACGGUUGUUUGUAACACCUAAAACUAAACGAGUUAUACAUAGGGUUAUAUAUACCAAAGUGACCAGGGUGACGAGUAGAUUUGAAUUCCGGAUGUCUGUCAGUCCGUUCGUCUGUCCGUCUGUGCAAGCGAUAAUUGGAGUAAAAAUGAGAUAUCUUAAUGAAACUUGGUACACAUAUUCCUUGGCACCAUGAGACGAUUGGUAUUGAAAAUGGGCGAAAUCGGACCACUGCCACGCCCACAAAAUGGCGAAAACCGAAAAUACAUAAAGUGGCAUAACUAAGCCAUAAAUAAAGCUAUGCAAGUAAAAUUGGAUACAAUAGGUCGCACUAUGAAGGGGAAUAUUUGGAUGUAAUAUUUUUGUAGAAGUGGGAGUGGCCCCGCCCCUACUAAGUUUUUUCUACAUACAGUGCACUUGCGAAAACUCGAACUAAUGAAAACCACACCUGUUCGAGUUAACGAAUUAUCCCAGUUUUCGAGUGUUAUAUUUUUCUUGCAUAAUUCAAAAUAUUAGCAUGUGGUUUGAUGUUUAGUGAUUCAUGACUAGUUUAUUCGAGCAUUUUUAUUUUUGUUUUCUUAAAUAAUACAAGGGGGACAUGUGUAUGUAAGAUGUGGGUUGUUUUCGAAUUGUUAGAAAAAAAAAUAGUGAUUUCUGUUUUCCGUUUCUUAUUCUCGACCGAAUUCAAUACGGCCUUUCGCGCAAUGAUUGCAGCAUAUUAAAUUUUCUUGGACUUCCGCUUUUAGCAGUUGCCCAUUGUAUAGCUUAGCUAAAAAUUGAUACCGCUUCGGAUGAACUUAUGCGUUCUGGAUCAUUUUCACCUUCCGCCUCAAAUUCAUCUUCAGAAUUGCUUUCUUCAAUUGGUUCCUCUUCAAUCAGGUCUUUAUUCCAGUUAUUUAUUUCUUCUUUUGUAAAAAUAACCUAAAAAUCUGUUGUUGUUAAACAUGAGUGUUUUUAUUUUGAGUCACCACCAUACCUCAGGAUUUAAGCCUUCGAGAAUAUUUUCAACUUCUCUUUCCAAUUUUUUAGCUUCUGCUUCCAUUUGGUUUUUCAAAACAUUAGGCGGAACAUCAUCUUCGUCAUCGUCUUCCAAGUUGGCAAAGUUUAAAAUAUUUUUCCAGCACUUCACCAAAGUAGCAUGCUCCAACUUAUUCCAAGCUCUAUCCAAAAAUGUAACAGCAUCCCUCUAGUUAUUGUUUUUUUUCAUUGAUUCGACCAAAUCGCUUUUUCGGUGGAAAUGGCUGCCAGCAUAGAUAAUGUAACUUUGUUUUUCUUAUUGCGUUUUAAUCCAUUGGUUGAAUCAAAUGACUGACAUUCGGGGGCAAAAACAUCGCUGCCAUCUUCAGACUUUAAUUCAUCUUCGAUGCGUUGUCAAUAAGAAGCCUUUUGAGGCGCCUUUUAAUAAAACAAUACGCAUCAAACAACGGUGCACGCAUCGGCAGUACGAAUAUAGUCAUCAUAUUUUGUUCGAGUUUUAAAGUAGCCAAUGGAAGAAAAAAUGUUCAAGUUUCCGAACGUUCGAGUUAUCGUGUGUUCGAGUUUUCGCGAGUGCACUGUAUCUCAUAAACUACUAGAGCUAUAUCAACCAAACUUUCUAGAGCCGUUACUCCCUUAAACAGUCUAAAAAUGGAGGAAAUCGGAUUGUAACCACGCGUACCUCCCAUACAAAGGUUAUGUUAACAACUACUAAAAAUGCUCUAAUUCAGUAAGGAAAAACACCAGAAGCCUUAAAUUUCAUUAUAAUGAUGGUAUAGAAGGGCUGCACUCAAAUUGGUAUACAAAAUUUUAAAUGGGCGUGGCUCCGCCCACUUACAAUAUAUAAAGUAAGUACUAGUGAAGACGGAACGGAACUUUGCACAAAUACUGCAUUUAUAGUGUGUCUUCGCCUUUCUAAAAAUCGCCGAAAUCGAAACAUAAGCCCCAUAUAUCGAACAUGAGGACCUCAGUGCUUCUAAUAAAUAUUUUACCGAAAAUCUAAGUAAGUCUCUCAGAUAUUUUUAAGAAAUUCAGAGGGAAUACUUGUCUUCAAAUAAUAUGUCUCCGUGCCAAAAAUGAGUUAAAUUGGGUCAUAACUUAACCUACCUCCCAUAUACCUAAUAUUAGGGUUUCCAACUUGUAAUGGACUUCAUACGAUAAAUAAAUUUAAAUAAAUAAAUUUUGAGGGUAUAAAAUGUUCGGUUACACCUGAACUUAGCCCUUUUUUAUACUCUCGCAACAAAAGUUGCUAAGAGAGUAUUAUAGUUUUGUUCACAUAACGGUUGUUUGUAAGUCAUAAAAUUAAACGAGUUAGAUAUAGGGUUAUAUAUAUCGAAAUGAUCAGGGCAACGAAACGAGUCGAAAUGGCGAAAACCGAAAACACAUAAAGUGUCAUAACUAAGCCAUAAAUAAAGUUAUAAAAGAAAAAUAUGGUACAAAGGAUCGUUGGAUGUAAUUUUUUUGAGGAAGUGGGCUUGGCCCCAUCACUAAAUAGGUUUUUUGUAUAUAUCACGCAAACCAAUAAAGCUAUAUAAACCAAACUUUCUGCAGUCGUUUCUUUUAACCACUUCUUAAUACAGUCCAAAAAUGAAAGAAUUCGGAUAAUAACCACGCCCACCUCCUAUACAAAGGUUAGGUUGAAAAUUACUGAAAGUGCGCUAACUCACUAACGGAAAACAUCAGAAAACUGCUGUUCCCACGACAGUCGGUUCUACGUAACCGGGACGGACCCGGAUUUUUAUCCGGCCAAGGUUGACAGUCCUUGUAAGGACUGCAUUCCUCAAAAUUAUUUGGGGAAUGUUUUAUGCCGCUACAACAACAACAACAACAACAACAACAUCAGAAACACUACAUUUUACAGAAGAAAGAAGCUGUACUCAGAUUUUUUACAAAAACCACUUAUGGGUCAAAAACCAUAUCUCAGAAACUACUCGGCAGAUUUCAAUGAAAUUUGGUAUAUAAUAUUUUCUUGACACCCUGAUGACACGUGUGGAAAAUUGAUCGGUUCACAGCCACGACUUCCCAGAAAUGGUUAAAAUCAGGUCAUUACAUCCCCUAGCUCUCAUAUAGCUAAUUAUAGGAUUUUCAAAAAUACGAUGGCCUUAAUAGCUUAUAAAUCGGGUAAUAUAUGAAAUAUCUUAGCCAAAUUAAACGAGCAUAUAAUCUUAGAUAUAAUGUAUGUUGUAAUGAAAAUAAGUUUAAUCGGUUCAGGAAUUACCUCAGCCCUUAUAUACCAUAUAUGAUGAUUUUCGUUUUUCUAUUGGACUUUAUACCGAAUAUAUGGGUCAAGUUGUUUGUUCUCUUAAUAAAAAUAUAGCAAUAAAUUGCGAGAGUAUGAAAUGUUCGGUUGCACCCGAA